rnacentral:rRNA from 1 species
CAGCCGCCGCGGGAACACGAAGGGGCUAGCGUUGCUCGGAAUGACUGGGCGUAAAGGGCGCGUAGGCGGAUUGUUUAGUUAGGCGUGAAAUUCCUAGGCUUAACCUGGGGACUGCGCUUAAUACAGGCAGUCUAGAGUGAGGAAGAGGGUUGUGGAAUUCCCAGUGUAGAGGUGAAAUUCGUAGAUAUUGGGAAGAACACCGGUGGCGAAGGCGGCAACCUGGUCCUUGACUGACGCUGAGGCGCGGAAGCGUGGGGAGCAAACAGGAUUAGAUACCCCAGUAGUCCCUGUCUCUUAUACA